rnacentral:rRNA from 1 species
GGGCUAAUCACGGUUGGACAUCGUGAGGUUAGUGCAAUGGCAUAAGCCCGCUUGACUGCGAGAAUAAAAGGUACUCCGGGGAUAACAGGCUGAUACCGCCCAAGAGUUCAUAUCGACGGCGGUGUUUGGCACCUCGAUGUCGGCUCAUCACAUCCUGGGGCUGAAGUCGGUCCCAAGGGUAUGGCUGUUCGCCAUUUAAAGUGGUACGCGAGCUGGGUUUAGAACGUCGUGAGACAGUUCGGUCCCUAUCUGCCGUGGGCGUUGGAAGAUUGAAGGGGGC